CUUGAGGGUUUAUUUGAUGGUAUUAUUUCUUUGUUUCUUGCUCCUAUUUGUAUUGUUUGGGGUUAUAAACUGUGGAGUUAGUUACUUGUAAUCUACUCCUGCAUUAAUGCCCCUAUCGGACCUGUCCAGAAGUCGUUAAUCCCUUAUCGGGAUUAGCUCUGUUUUGAGAACAGCGAUAGUUCAACAUGUUUGUAAAUUGAUUAUGGACUCACUUGCUGUCUGUUGUGUUUGCUUUAUAAUUUGUGAAGAGAGCUUACUAGACUGCUUGAAUGAAGCAUGAGAACAAAGACAAAGUUGAGGUAGUUAUGUCUGCAUCUUCAGAAGAAGUAACCCACUAUUAGUUUUUCCCUUUAAAGCAUCCCUAUCAAGGUUUGGGCUUCCUUAAUGUGGAUAACAUAUUGAAACAUCUCUAUAUUUGAGUGAGACGCCUGAAAUAUCCAGUAUAUACCAGAAACUAAUGAAUUUCUAAGAUAGUAUCAGUGAAGAAAAUUUGUUAAUUUAGAUUAAUACCUGGUUAAGAAAUCGUAACUGUAUAUUAUUUUGGCUGAGAUUUGUCAAACUCCAAAUUGGAGGUGAUCAAUUAAGGAAAUUCUCAAAACCUUUGUACUUUUGUAGACAAUGCACUAAAGCAAUGCCCAAAAUCAAAUUUUUGUAUAGAUAAACAUUGCCUAGAAUGGAAAGUCGGCUCAAAAGAGUUUGUAAUGCUCUGAAAUUUCAUAUUAUCCAGGAUGUCAGUUGUUUUGUAUUGUAUUAGUUCAUAUUAGUAACAAGAAAUAGAAACAGACGUCAGAAUAUCUUUUCUUUUGACAAACCACUGGAAUGUAUUAUCAAUUCUCCACAAUGUUGUAUAGUGCUACUCAAUAUGGAUUUGGUCCAAAAGUAAAAAGUUCUAUAAUGUAUUAACUUCUCUAGCUCUAGAUACCAUAUGCUCAUUCAUAGUGAUCAUACUUGUCAAGUUAUAUUAUAUAGCUUCUGUUUUUUUCAGACCAGAUAAAACUGUCAUCCAAUGGGUUAUAUGUGGCUGCUGAUUUGUGAGAAUUUUUUCCUAUUCUUAUUCAAUCUCCUGUCUUUUCUGUCUCUUGUACCCUCCUUUAUUUAUUUAUUUUUUAGUAUAAACUCUCUAUCCAUUUUGCAGAAAAAAGUCACUUGUAGGAUGACUUGUAGUAUUUCAUUGUUUUCUCCAUAUGUGUCACUUUUAAGUCUUUGGUAUCUCGUGAAAAAAAAAACAAAAAUAAAUAACUUGUAUGCUUACACUACAGAGAAGCCAUUUGCAAAGGAUUCUUUUCCUACAAAAGUCAGCCAGCGGGUUGUCCCUGCAUAUCGCAGGGCAAAGGUAAGAGGAGCUUUUGUGCUGGAUUCUGAUGAUGAAAAAGAUAAUUGACUGCUAUUAUUUCUGUUUUCUUUUGCUUCAGCCAUCUCUAAAUUUAGAAAGUUCCAAAGGUGACCUCUAAAUAUGAUAAAUUUCAGGUCCCAUUGUGAACCAUUAUUUUCCGAUUUUUUUUUUUGGGGGGGGGGGGGGGGCGGGUGGGGGAGUUAAUGAAGGAAGUGGAUGCUGUAAUUAGUGUAGGGUUCUGUUGAACAUAUUCGCUUGUGGGCUCCAGAGAUAGAAUGUAAAUGUUGAAGUCAGUGAAAUUUCCUUGAUCUUUAUUUUAUUUUAUGGGACAUGUUUAUGAAAAAGAUGUUAUUCACUGGCUUGGAUCAAUUAAACUUUUUUAGUUCCUUA